rnacentral:rRNA from 1 species
GCGUUUACCACGGUAUGAUUCAUGACUGGGGUGAAGUCGUAACAAGGUAACCGUAGGGGAACCUGCGGUUGGAUCACCUCCUUACCAAAGA